rnacentral:rRNA from 1 species
UACGUAGGGGGCUAGCGUUGUCCGGAUUUAUUGGGCGUAAAGAGCGUGUAGGCGGCCAGGUAGGUCCGCUGUGAAAGUCCGAGGCUCAACCUCGGAAUGUCGGCGGAAACCCUCUGGCUAGAGUCCGGAAGAGGAGAGUGGAAUUCUCGGUGUAGCAGUGAAAUGCGUAGAUAUCGAGAGGAACACCAGUGGCGAAGGCGAGUCCCUGGACAACACCUGACACUGAGGCACGAAAGCCGGGGGAGCAAACAGG